GACGAACGCUGGCGGCGUGCUUAACACAUGCAAGUCGAACGGAAAGGCCCUGCUUUUGUGGGGUGCUCGAGUGGCGAACGGGUGAGUAACACGUGAGUAACCUGCCCUUGACUUUGGGAUAACUUCAGGAAACUGGGGCUAAUACCGGAUAGGAGCUCCUGCUGCAUGGUGGGGGUUGGAAAGUUUCGGCGGUUGGGGAUGGACUCGCGGCUUAUCAGCUUGUUGGUGGGGUAGUGGCUUACCAAGGCUUUGACGGGUAGCCGGCCUGAGAGGGUGACCGGCCACAUUGGGACUGAGAUACGGCCCAGACUCCUACGGGAGGCAGCAGUGGGGAAUAUUGCACAAUGGGCGGAAGCCUGAUGCAGCAACGCCGCGUGCGGGAUGACGGCCUUCGGGUUGUAAACCGCUUUCGCCUGUGACGAAGCGUGAGUGACGGUAAUGGGUAAAGAAGCACCGGCUAACUACGUGCCAGCAGCCGCGGUGAUACGUAGGGUGCGAGCGUUGUCCGGAUUUAUUGGGCGUAAAGGGCUCGUAGGUGGUUGAUCGCGUCGGAAGUGUAAUCUUGGGGCUUAACCCUGAGCGUGCUUUCGAUACGGGUUGACUUGAGGAAGGUAGGGGAGAAUGGAAUUCCUGGUGGAGCGGUGGAAUGCGCAGAUAUCAGGAGGAACACCAGUGGCGAAGGCGGUUCUCUGGGCCUUUCCUGACGCUGAGGUGCGAAAGCGUGGGGAGCGAACAGGCUUAGAUACCCUGGUAGUCCACGCUGUAAACGGUGGGUACUAGGUGUGGGGUCCAUUCCACGGGUUCCGUGCCGUAGCUAACGCUUUAAGUACCCCGCCUGGGGAGUACGGCCGCAAGGCUAAAACUCAAAGGAAUUGACGGGGCCCCGCACAAGCGGCGGAGCAUGCGGAUUAAUUCGAUGCAACGCGUAGAACCUUACCUGGGUUUGACAUGGAUCGGGAGCGCUCAGAGAUGGGUGUGCCUCUUUUGGGGUCGGUUCACAGGUGGUGCAUGGCUGUCGUCAGCUCGUGUCGUGAGAUGUUGGGUUAAGUCCCGCAACGAGCGCAACCCUUGUUCACUGUUGCCAGCACGUUAUGGUGGGGACUCAGUGGAGACCGCCGGGGUCAACUCGGAGGAAGGUGGGGAUGACGUCAAGUCAUCAUGCCCCUUAUGUCCAGGGCUUCACGCAUGCUACAAUGGCUGGUACAGAGAGUGGCGAGCCUGUGAGGGUGAGCGAAUCUCGGAAAGCCGGUCUCAGUUCGGAUUGGGGUCUGCAACUCGACCUCAUGAAGUCGGAGUCGCUAGUAAUCGCAGAUCAGCAACGCUGCGGUGAAUACGUUCCCGGG
rnacentral:rRNA from 1 species